UUUAUAGAAAUGGUUUAGCGUCGUCAGAAAAAGUCCGUUAGCAUCUCAAAGAAGUGGCAGAAAAAAACAUCUAUGACACAGGAGAAGUUCCUGAUUUUAACAUUUCUGAAGGGAGCUGCUGACAGAGAGGAUGAAAACACACACAUUUUGAUGUCCACGCUGUAGGAGCAUUACUAAAUAAUGCUUAUGUUCCUAGGUUCUUCCAUGCUGAUGGCUGUGCUCUAGAGUCAUAUCUCCUGUCGAAGAACAUUUUUAGACAUUAUGAACCAUGAAUAAGUUUAGCUCCAACCCCAGUUAAGCGGACCUGAGCAGCUGAUCAAGGAUCAGCAGAAACUCUGCAGAACAUUGGUCCUUCAGCCCAGGACUGGACACCAGUGUUAGUGUCUGUCUCAGAAGCUGAAGAAAAAAGGCCACACC